rnacentral:sRNA from 1 species
UCAUAGCCCCGAUAGAGGCGGUAUCCUUUUUUGAGGCGUCCCGAAUUUUCGGGGUAACGCCUCAAAAAAGAUAUAGCCGAAAGCGGGAUCAGCU